rnacentral:rRNA from 1 species
ACUCCUACGGGAGGCAGCAGUGGGGAAUAUUGGACAAUGGGCGCAAGCCUGAUUCAGCCAUGCCGCGUGAGUGAUGAAGGCCCUAGGGUUGUAAAGCUCUUUCACCGGUGAAGAUAAUGACGGUAACCGGAGAAGAAGCCCCGGCUAACUUCGUGCCAGCAGCCGCGGUAAUACGAAGGGGGCUAGCGUUGUUCGGAUUUACUGGGCGUAAAGCGCACGUAGGCGGACUAUUAAGUCAGGGGUGAAAUCCCGGGGCUCAACCCCGGAACUGCCUUUGAUACUGGUAGUCUUGAGUUCGAGAGAUGUGAGUGGAAUGCCGAGUGUAGAGGUGAAAUUCGUAGAUAUUCGGAGGAACACCAGUGGCGAAGGCGGCUCACUGGCUCGAUACUGACGCUGAGGUGCGAAAGCGUGGGGAGCAAACAGGAUUAGAAACCCUGGUAGUCUCAUG